rnacentral:rRNA from 1 species
UGGGGAAUAUUGCACAAUGGGCGCAAGCCUGAUGCAGCAACGCCGCGUGAGGGACGACGGCCUUCGGGUUGUAAACCUCUUUUGGCAGGGAAGAAGCGAAAGUGACGGUACCUACAGAAGAAGCACCGGCUAACUCUGUGCCAGCAGCCGCGGUAAUACAGAGGGUGCAAGCGUUAAUCGGAAUUACUGGGCGUAAAGGGCGCGUAGGUGGUUAAUUAAGUCAGAUGUGAAAGCCCCGGGCUUAACCUGGGAAUUGCAUUUGAAACUGAUUGGCUAGAGUACGGGAGAGGGAAGUGGAAUUUCCGGUGUAGCGGUGAAAUGCGUAGAUAUCGGAAGGAACACCAGUGGCGAAGGCGACUUCCUGGCCCGUUACUGACACUGAGGCGCGAAAGCGUGGGGAGCGAACA